rnacentral:rRNA from 1 species
CUUUUGUGGGGUGCUCGAGUGGCGAACGGGUGAGUAACACGUGAGUAACCUGCCCUUGACUUUGGGAUAACUUCAGGAAACUGGGGCUAAUACCGGAUAGGAGCUCCUGCUGCAUGGUGGGGGUUGGAAAGUUUCGGCGGUUGGGGAUGGACUCGCGGCUUAUCAGCUUGUUGGUGGGGUAGUGGCUUACCAAGGCUUUGACGGGUAGCCGGCCUGAGAGGGUAACCGGCCACAUUGGGACUGAGAUACGGCCCAG